CGUGCCUAAUACAUGCAAGUCGAGCGAACGGACGAGAAGCUUGCUUCUCUGAUGUUAGCGGCGGACGGGUGAGUAACACGUGGAUAACCUACCUAUAAGACUGGGAUAACUUCGGGAAACCGGAGCUAAUACCGGAUAAUAUUUUGAACCGCAUGGUUCAAAAGUGAAAGACGGUCUUGCUGUCACUUAUAGAUGGAUCCGCGCUGCAUUAGCUAGUUGGUAAGGUAACGGCUUACCAAGGCAACGAUGCAUAGCCGACCUGAGAGGGUGAUCGGCCACACUGGAACUGAGACACGGUCCAGACUCCUACGGGAGGCAGCAGUAGGGAAUCUUCCGCAAUGGGCGAAAGCCUGACGGAGCAACGCCGCGUGAGUGAUGAAGGUCUUCGGAUCGUAAAACUCUGUUAUUAGGGAAGAACAUAUGUGUAAGUAACUGUGCACAUCUUGACGGUACCUAAUCAGAAAGCCACGGCUAACUACGUGCCAGCAGCCGCGGUAAUACGUAGGUGGCAAGCGUUAUCCGGAAUUAUUGGGCGUAAAGCGCGCGUAGGCGGUUUUUUAAGUCUGAUGUGAAAGCCCACGGCUCAACCGUGGAGGGUCAUUGGAAACUGGAAAACUUGAGUGCAGAAGAGGAAAGUGGAAUUCCAUGUGUAGCGGUGAAAUGCGCAGAGAUAUGGAGGAACACCAGUGGCGAAGGCGACUUUCUGGUCUGUAACUGACGCUGAUGUGCGAAAGCGUGGGGAUCAAACAGGAUUAGAUACCCUGGUAGUCCACGCCGUAAACGAUGAGUGCUAAGUGUUAGGGGGUUUCCGCCCCUUAGUGCUGCAGCUAACGCAUUAAGCACUCCGCCUGGGGAGUACGACCGCAAGGUUGAAACUCAAAGGAAUUGACGGGGACCCGCACAAGCGGUGGAGCAUGUGGUUUAAUUCGAAGCAACGCGAAGAACCUUACCAAAUCUUGACAUCCUUUGACAACUCUAGAGAUAGAGCCUUCCCCUUCGGGGGACAAAGUGACAGGUGGUGCAUGGUUGUCGUCAGCUCGUGUCGUGAGAUGUUGGGUUAAGUCCCGCAACGAGCGCAACCCUUAAGCUUAGUUGCCAUCAUUAAGUUGGGCACUCUAAGAUGACUGCCGGUGACAAACCGGAGGAAGGUGGGGAUGACGUCAAAUCAUCAUGCCCCUUAUGAUUUGGGCUACACACGUGCUACAAUGGACAAUACAAAGGGCAGCGAAACCGCGAGGUCAAGCAAAUCCCAUAAAGUUGUUCUCAGUUCGGAUUGUAGUCUGCAACUCGACUACAUGAAGCUGGAAUCGCUAGUAAUCGUAGAUCA
rnacentral:rRNA from 1 species